ensembl:lncRNA
CUUGGGUAGCCCAACCCAUCCUUCCGGCCGGGUCAUCCCACCUACCGGUACCCCCAAGUCUCGCCCGGGAGGGGCCUGGGUUCCGGGGGGGGCCCCCCCCCUUAACCCUUGCUUUACCGGCCCGUUCAGGCCCCGCCCCGGGCCGCCAGCGGGCAGGAAGUUUUUUUUAAUUAUAAUUCACCGGAACAGGUGGGGGGAGAGCCGGGGCACAUCAGGGCAAGCCGGGGGGGGGGGGGGGGGGGUAGGGGGACGCCUUCUGCUUCUGCUUCGCGGUGUCCGGGUGGCCGCCGACAGGGGUUUGUCCUUUGACAUCAAAGUGAGGAGCCCAGCCGCGGCUUCCCAGUGCCCGCCUCUCGCCAACACCUGGCUCCGGGCAUCCUGCUCUGCUCUCAUCCUCUCUCCCCGGGCAGCCCCUCCAGCAGCCUAGCCUCGGGCCAACCUCCCCGCUGCCCAGCAGGCGUGGACCCACCGCCCACUCCGCGUGCGCAGCCUCCCACGAUCUCCUUCCCCAGCCCUGAACUUGUCUGUGGCCCCCAUGCCGCAGCCGUCCCCUCGCUCAGCCUCAGUGCUGUCAUCCGGAAAACGGGCGGAUGGCUAGUGUCCGCCCAGCGAGGCGGCGAGCGGGCCCGCCGGGGCGCAGGGCGCCACCUGGAGGCGACGACGCGCCCUCUUCUCGCUUGCAGGGUCGGCCCGGCCCCACAGGGGGCGCAGCAUCUCACACAACGGAGGGACCAAAAAAGGAAAAAAAAAAAAAAAACCAUCUUUCGAUUUAUUGAAGGAGAAGGGCAAGGGGUGGGGAGGGAAUGAAACGCUUCUGCUUCGUUUAUAAAGAGCGAGUUUUCGGGAGGCCUCUUCUGAAAGGGGGGGGCACCUCUUCCCCAACUACAAGCAGCAGCAAAAGCCAAGCCAAGGAGGGCCGAGGGACACAGGGGGCGCCCGGGCACCCCGAGCGCCCCCUCGGACGGGAGCCACAAGCUUUCUCCCCCCACCCACAAUGCAUCUACCCCAGGGGACCCAUCUGGGCGAGGGAAGGGGGUAUGUACACAGGUGGGGUGGCCCCGGACUGGGCGAGGGAGGGAAUAAGUUAUCCGCAGCGGCGGUGGGCGGGCGGGGACAGUCUCUUGGAGGCAGCGGCGGCCUAGGGGUCCCGUUCUUUCUUGACCUUGAUGUCUCCAGCAAGGAUGGUGGCGAUCUCGCCCUGCAUGAAGGCCCAGGGCACGGAGGAGCCCACCAGCGGGCACUUGUCUCCACUCGGGCAGUACACCUCGCCCGCCGGGCCUUGCGCCUUGAUGAACUCCCGCGAGCAGGGGAAGCAGAACUUGUGUCCGGGCACCGAGGGGCACUGGACGAAGUGGGUGUCUUCCAGCCGCUCCCGGCACAGGGUACAGCACAGCGGGGCCCCGGGGGUCGCCCCGGUGCCGCCGCCGCCGCCCCCACUGACAGCUUCGGCCCCGGCUGUGGGGCUGACUUCUGCCUCCCCGUUCCGGGCCACCAGGCGAUGCUGGACAGGGGGCGCAGCGGCGGACGAGGCUGCGGGGCUGGCGCCUCCUGCCCGCACCGGGCCCCCGCCGCCGCCAGGGUCCUUGGGCGAGUGGCCGAGGGCCUCCGCCACGUUCUUCAAGGCGGCGAUGGGAGAGGGCACGCCGGGGGCCUCGGCGGAGUAGGGGCCGCCGGGGGCCACCCAGUGCCGCUGCUGCUGCUUCUCCUUCUCGAAAUCCGAGCCGAAGAGGGGCCGCGCAGGGCUCAAGCCCGGGGCCAGCGUCAGGCCUCGGCCUCCCAGGCCGGACACCGCGGCCGCCAGCAGCCCCGGGGGCAUCAGGCUGGGCAUGGAGCUGAGCAAGGCCCGCCGCGCCCCCUCCACCACGGCCUCCUCGCGGCCCAGCCCGUUGGCCAGGCGCGACCCCAGGGUGUACUCCAGGGCCGGCGAGGGCAGGGGCAGGCGGCUCGAGGAGGUGGCCCUGUCAUAGCGGUCCUGGCCCGAUCCGCCGCCGCUGCCGCCGCCGCUGGCCCCGCCGCCGCCGCCGCCGCUGCCCGUGCCCGACGGCUGCGCCUGCGCCUGCGGGGGCGGCAGCGGGGGCCCCUGCGUGGCGGCCGCAGCCAAGUCCUUGGAGCUGGGGUGCUUGAGGGCCGGGGGCCCGGGCGAGCGGCCCUCGGGGAGCACGUGGCUGCGCUUGAGCUGGCGCGCGGCAUCUAAGAGGCAGCUCGAUGCGGUCCGCGCCCUUUUACAGUGGAUGAUUAACAGCUGUAGUACUAUGAUCAGGACUUCUUGAUUGGAAUGUGGAAUGUGUUAAUGC